UCGUAGUACAGUAACGAGUCUCUCCAAAGAAACCGCUUCAGAAGUUUCUCUUUUUUCUCCACCCUCUGACCCUUUGAUUAUCCUUGACCUGACUAAGGGGUCUAAGGAUUAUUGAACUAGUUCUCUGAAAUUUCGCUUGUAAAUUCUGCAUAUGGAGAGGCGGCCUCACAGCCACGUUGAUAAUUGGUUUGGAACGUAUCAGUAGGUCUGACUGAAGGUUAGAACUGAAGCAGGAGGAGCCCUAUUUUAACAUCCUGUUACACAGAAGACUGGUAUCCAAAAUAGAGAACUUGUGCAAAUCAAAAGGAAAAAGACAAUCCAGUAUUUUAAAAAUGGGCAAAGGAUAUGAAGGGGCAAUUCACAAAGAUGAACCUUAUCCGGCAAUGAACAUAGAAAAGAUGCUGAGCAUGCCACGUUUCCUGCCCAGACAGAACUCCCAGAGGCUGGGGCAGCCUCUGUCUCUCCUCUUUGGGAUUGACUUCUGUUGGAAGAUUGUUUAUUUAAUUUGGAAGGUUAUAAUAAUUAUCAAAGCCAUUCUGAGUCUUCCAUAAUGUUGUGUGUCUCAAAAACUCAUUAUAGAACUUAAAUUUGUCAUGGGUGGUGGAACCAAAUCCCAGUUCUUGGGGUUUUUCAUGGGAGGCUGUGAACUCACCUCUGGCCAGAGGAGGAGAUGGAUGCCCAGAAGUCAGGACUGAGCAAAACGAAGGCCACCGGAAUGAUGGAGGAAGCCACAGAAAAGAGCACUGAUCUCGGAGCCCAACACCAAAGUGCUGUUAUCUUGCCUUGAUUUUAAAGGCAAUGUCUGCCUGUUGGAGUUGUCGUGAGAAUUAAAUGAUGGGGUAGGCAUGGGAGUGAACUGUAGACUCUAAAAGGGCCGUACGCGUGCAAGGUUUUCUUAUACAGAGCAUAGUCAGCCAUGUCUUAAAAAUAGAUUCUCCUUUUUUCCAUUAUUAAAUGAAGUCAGAUUCAUGAAAGAGAGUUUUGAAAAUACAAGCGAGUAGGAAGAGGAAAACACUCAGUCCCACCAGUCAGAGCAACCACACAACACUGUAAUCUGUGUCCUUUGGUCAUUAUACUAUGCGAAGGCUUGGCCUUAUUUUGUCAUACUCUUGUAAACAUAUGGAACAUAGAUGUGUG
rnacentral:lncRNA from 1 species